AUUGAACGCUGGCGGCAGGCCUAACACAUGCAAGUGGAGCGGAGCGGCGGCAGGGUGAGUAAGGCCUAGGAAUCUGCCUGGUAGUGGGGGAUAACGUCAGGAAACGGGCGCUAAUACCGCAUACUAUCAGAUGAGGCUAGGUCGGAUUAGAUAGUUGGGGGGGUAAAGGCCUAACAAGGCGACGAUCAGUAACUGGUCUGAGAGGAUGAUCAGUCAAACUGGAACGGAGACACGGUCCAUACUCCUACGCGAGGCAGCAGUGGGGAAUAUUGGACAAUGGGCGAAAGCCUGAUCCAGCCAUGCCGCGUGUGUGAAGAAGGUCUUCGGAUUGUAAAGCACUUUAAGUUGGGAGGCGUUACCAACAGAAUAAGCACCGGCUAACUUCGUGCCAGCAGCCGCGGUAAUUC
rnacentral:rRNA from 1 species